rnacentral:rRNA from 1 species
UCCCACCGCCGUAGCAAUACGGCGGUGGGGGAAGUGGCGAAAGGGGCAGUAAGGCGUGGGUAACCUACCCCGGGGAUGGGCAUAGCCGUUCUAACGAGCGGGUAAUUCCCAGCGAUCCGGCCGACGGGGCAUCCCGUUGCCGGGAAACGAAUUUCGCCUCGGGAGGGACUCACGUGCUAUUAGCUGGUUGGCGGGGUAACGGCCCACCAAGGCAAAGAUGGCUAGCGGGUGUGAGAGCACGACCCGCGCCACUGGCACUGAGACACUGGCCAGACACCUACGGGUGGCUGCAGUCGAGGAUCUUCGUCAAUGGGCGCAAGCCUGAACGAGCGACGCCGCGUGUGCGAUGAAGGCCUUCGGGUUGUAAAGCACUGUCGAGGGGGAUCAAGGUCGCGAAAGCGACUUGAUUGAUCCCUGGAGGAAGCACGGGCUAAGUUCGUGCCAGCAGCCGCGGUAAGACGAACCGUGCGAACGUUGUUCGGAAUCACUGGGCUUAAAGGGCGCGUAGGCGGCCCGCAAGGUCGGGGGUGAAAUCCCGCGGCUCAACCGCGGAAGGGCCUCCGAUACCGGCGGGCUCGAGGGAGGUAGGGGUGCGCGGAACUUCUGGUGGAGCGGUGAAAUGCGUUGAUAUCAGAAGGAACGCCGGCGGCGAAAGCGGCGCACUGGACCUCUACUGACGCUGAGGCGCGAAAGCCAGGGGAGCAAACGGGAUUAGAUACCCCGGUAGUCCUGGCCCUAAACGAUGGGUACUAGGCCGUGGGCCGGUCAUGGGCUCACAGCCGAAGCAAAAGUGUUAAGUACCCCGCCUGGGGAGUAU